CGGGUCAAAAGAGUGUUGGGGAGAAAAACAAGUGGACAGUAACUGCUCGUACCUUGACGGGACCUAACCAAAAAGCCACGGCUAACUACGUGCCAGCAGCCGCGGUAAUACGUAGGUGGCAAGCGUUAUCCGGAAUUAUUGGGCGUAAAGGGCGCGGAGGCGGUUUCUUAAUUAUGAGGUGAAAGCCCACGGCUCAACCGAGGAGGGUGUUGGAAACUGAACCACUUGAGUGCUGAAUACAAAAUAGGACUUUCGCAUGCCGCGUUUAAAUGCUUAUAUAUGUUAAGUCCUGCACCUGUACCGGCCGUUCUUAUGUGUUUA
rnacentral:rRNA from 2 species